UCAAAUCCUGAUCAAAUUAGGAUCAAAUUUCUCUUUUAAUCAGGCUCGAUCAUAUCAAAUCUAAUCAGAGUCGAACUGAAUCCAAUUCAAUUAGACUUGAUUCAAAAAUCUUUACUCAAUUAAAUUAAAUUAAUUAAUAAUUUAAUUAUUAAUAAAUUUUCUAUUAAUAGUACAGUCUCAAUUUUAGUGAGACUCUUCCACAGAGUCCUAGUCUGAGUAGGACUCUUCACCAGAGUCACAAUUCAAUUGGACUCUUCAGCCAUC
rnacentral:lncRNA from 1 species